rnacentral:lncRNA from 7 species
UCCGGCGCCCUUUUCCCUUCUGCUAACACUAGAUUACUAGCUUCCCACUGCAAUUAGGGUUGGAGUGUAGUAAUACUAGUACCUCAUGACCGGGGACCGCGAGGACGGAGGAGGAACAGGAAGAACUGCAAUGGCUGGACUGCAGGACUGGACUGGACUGGACCACUUGCAUUGCCGGCCCGCGGCCGGGUCCUCCCAUCCAUAGAGCGCUGCACUGACCAGUGACCAGAGGGAGAGGAGAGGACCCCCAGUCCUUGCCCCCAAAUCCUGCACCAUAUCAAAAUGUUUCAGGACUGUUUCUUGCGUCAUCAUGAUCUUCUUAAAAUAAAAGGCAGUCAAACCGGAGUCAAUCAGGCGUGCACUGAGAAGGAAAUCUUCAUCACUCGGCUAGUACCGCAUUUCAUGCCCAGAUCGAUCCCAUGUGUCCGAUUAGUAGCCAUUUUUCACAUCCAGUGAUCUGAGCUUGACAUGCUAACACCUUCCUUCUCGUCUAGCUAAAAAGACAUGUUAACCGCUCCAGUUGAAAGAACACGGCGAUGGCAAAAAAAAAAAAAACCCCUCCUGUUCUACUACCACUUCGAUCACGACGAUGGUGUUCUGGAGCGUCCCCUGCUUGUACCUACCCACCAAAACCCUAACUUGGAGAUGGGAACAUGAGCGACGGUAGAGGAAAAGGACUGCCCGGUAUAAAAACACGGUUCAAAGCUGUUGCUGUUGACGCCUUGUUGUAUAUACACAUUGAAAGAAUAGAGGUCCACCACUGACGUAUUGCUGCCGUCCAAAAGCCUAUCCUUUCACCUUGCAUUCGGCUGGCUCACAAAAAGCUUGCAUUCAUCACCCCUCUUUUACCGGACACUCUUUUGCAGUAAUUUUCUA